UAUUCCUUGCUGGGUGCGGUUUUAUCUGGAGCUCUCUUUUAUUACCACAUGAGGGAAUCUCUGCUCAGAUGAAGAUACCUAAAGUACUUCCAUUACUGUAUGGUCACAGGGGGCUGAUGCCCACAUUUUAGAGUUGGUUAUCCAGUGGGCAGCAGAGCUGUAGUGGGAAGAUCACAGGUCUGCAGAUGCUGGCAUGCACAGGCAGCUAUCUCUCAAACUGUGCAUGUCAAAGCAGUUAUUUGAUCAUCAGUAGAACAUAAAGAAGAAAUGACACUAAAAAGGCAGAAGAGAUUUCACAAGCAAACACUCUUCCUGGAGCCCGCAAAUUAAUCAGUAAAAAGACGAUUUUGUUCCAAGCA